UGAUCGGCGCUCCACCCUGAC
rnacentral:misc_RNA from 1 species